GACGAACGCUGGCGGCGUGCUUAACACAUGCAAGUCGAACGAAGUGGCGGACGGGUGAGUAACGCGUAAUCAACCUGCCCUUCAGAGGGGGACAACAGUUGGAAACGACUGCUAAUACCGCAUACUGAAGGAGGGGAUUGAGGCUGAUUAGAUAGUUGGCGGGGUAACGGCCCACCAAGGCGAUGAUCAGUAGCCGGUCUGAGAGGAUGAACCGCCACAUUGGGACUGGGACACGGCCCAGACUCCUACGGGUGGCAGCAGUGGGGAAUCUUCCGCAAUGGACGAAAGUCUGACGGAGCAACGCCGCGUGAGUGAUGACGGCCUUCGGGUUGUAAAGCUCUGUUAAUCGGGACGCGGUACCGGAAUAGAAAGCCACGGCUAACUACGUGCCAGCAGCCGCGGUAAUAC
rnacentral:rRNA from 1 species